GUGGCUUUCACCUGUCCUGUUUUGUACGUAUUCGUUGAUUGAAAUUGAGAAUUGUUUAAUUUGAAAUACUUAAAAUAUACUCGAUAAAGUUGAUUGAAAUUAAGAAAUUUUAGCUAAUUUUGCUUUCAGGUAAAUUGCAUCAUUGCAUUCAGUUUCAACUUGUAAAAAAUGGGAGUACCAAAGUUUUACAGAUGGAUUAGUGAACGUUACCCCUGUUUGAGUGAAGUGGUGAAAGAACAUCAGAUACCAGAAUUUGACAACUUGUAUUUGGAUAUGAAUGGAAUCAUUCACAUGUGUUCUCACCCAAAUGAUGAUGAUCCACAUUUUAGAAUAUCAGAAGAAAAAAUAUUUGAAGAUAUAUUUCAUUAUAU